UCAGAAUUUCCACUUAUCUCCCGUGCCAAAGUGGAGCCUCUUAACUGCUCACUGGGUUCACCCCCUUCCUCCCGAGAUGCUGGUGCUGAUUCAGUGCUCAGGAUAGCUUCCCCCAGGUCUCUCCUCCUCUUUGCCUGCCUUCACAAUUUCCAGAAAACUCGAAGUUAAAUCCCAUAUUUGAUCCUGUAAACUGUAUUUGUUUAUUACUUUUUAUUUUCUCUACAAUAACAAAAACCAUUACUAUGAAAUGAAUGAAGUCCCACGGAACCCAGAUAAUGCAGAACUUUGUGACCUUGGACUGUGGAUUCAACGGAUCCUGGAACAGAGAUCCUCUGCCUGCUUCCCCAAUUUCCCCAGCAUACACAAUGGAAUAAUACACAGUCACAAGCUACUGAAAGCAUCCUGCCUGCACGGGCUGAGUCUGGCACGCUCCCUGUGGCAUAUUCGAUAUGCCAAAUACUGUAACAAUAAUAGGUCUCAUUCCCCUGACCCUGAAAGAACCUGCAAUCAUUGGGAAAAGACAAGUAAGAAGAGGUUUCUAAAAUCUCAGCUCUGGGAGGAAUCGAGAUGUUACUGGCACCCGCUUGAGUAAUUCAACUAUCAAUGGGAUGACAGUGAUGCAGUGAUACUAUUAUUAAAUAUAGACACAUAUAAGGAUGUGGAUAUAUAGUAUAAACAACUCAUGUACUGUGGUAGCAAGACAGAUCCAUUUAAAAGCCAGGAAAGUAUCUGUCCUCAGCUCAUUUUUAUUUGUUUCCAUGUCUUUACAUUAAUUUUAUAGUUCUCUAUCUCUUAAAAUUUUUCUCAAAUACUUAGAACUUAGGACAACAUCAACUCUAAAAGAACAAGACUGUAUUAUGUUGCAGAGCAACUGAGGGAAACGUAAUUUGGUCUUAUGAGGCCUGAGUGAAAAAAAUUCUUUGUAUCAUUCUAUUUAUGUGAUCUCAGUUCUUAACACUACCAGCCAUCACUUGGACCAUUGAAACUAUAUUUUGACAUCAA